GUCCUGGGAUAGCUCGGUUGGUUAGCACAUGAGACUCUGAAUCUCAUGGUUGUGGGUUUGAGCCCCACGUGGGGCA